GAGGCAGCAGUUGGGAAUAUUGCGCAAUGGGCGAAAGCCUGACGCAGCGACGCCGCGUGGGGGAUGACGGCCUUCGGGUUGUAAACCUCUUUCAGCAGGGACGAAGCGAAAGUGACGGUACCUGCAGAAGAAGCACCGGCCAACUACGUGCCAGCAGCCGCGGUAAUACGUAGGGUGCAAGCGUUGUCCGGAAUUAUUGGGCGUAAAGAGCUCGUAGGCGGUUUGUUGCGUCGGCUGUGAAAACCUGAGGCUCAACCUCAGGCCUGCAGUCGAUACGAGCAGACUAGAGUGUUGCAGGGGAGACUGGAAUUCCUGGUGUAGCGGUGAAAUGCGCAGAUAUCAGGAGGAACACCGGUGGCGAAGGCGGGUCUCUGGGCAACAACUGACGCUGAGGAGCGAAAGCGUGGGGAGCGAACAGGAUCAGAUACCCUGGUAGUCCACGCCGUAAACGUUGGGCGCUAGGUGUGGGGCUCAUUCCACGAGUUCCGUGCCGCAGCUAACGCAUUAAGCGCCCCGCCUGGGGA
rnacentral:rRNA from 1 species